GCCAGACUCCUACGGGAGGCAGCAGUGGGGAAUAUUGGGCAAUGGGCGCAAGCCUGACCCAGCAACGCCGCGUGAAGGAAGAAGGCUUUCGGGUUGUAAACUUCUUUUCUCAGGGACGAAGAAAGUGACGGUACCUGAGGAAUAAGCCACGGCUAACUACGUGCCAGCAGCCGCGGUAAUACGUAGGUGGCAAGCGUUAUCCGGAUUUAUUGGGUGUAAAGGGCGUGUAGGCGGGAGCGCAAGUCAGAUGUGAAAACUCAGGGCUCAACCCUGAGCCUGCAUUUGAAACUGUGUUUCUUGAGUGCUGGAGAGGCAAUCGGAAUUCCGGGUGUAGCGGUGAAAUGCGUAGAUAUACGGAGGAACACCAGUGGCGAAGGCGGAUUGCUGGACAGUAACUGACGCUGAGGCACGAAAGCCAGGGGAGCGAAAGGGAUUAGAUACCCCGGUA
rnacentral:rRNA from 1 species